rnacentral:rRNA from 1 species
AUGCCGCGGUGAAUACGUUCCCGGGGCCUUGUACACACCGCCCGUCACACCACGAGAGUUUGUAACACCCGAAGUCGGUGGGGUAACCUUUUGGAGCCAGCCGCCUAAGGUGGGACAGAUGAUUGGGGUGAAGUCGUAACAAGGUAGCCGUAUCGGAAGGUGCGGCUGGAUCACCUCCUUUCU